CGGGAUGUAGCGCAGCUUGGUAGCGCAUAUGCUUUGGGAGCAUGGGGCCGCAGGUUCGAAUCCUGUCAUCCCGA
rnacentral:tRNA from 6 species